AUACGGAGGAUCCAAGCGUUAUCCGGAAUCAUUGGGUUUAAAGGGUCCGUAGGCGGGUUUGUAAGUUAGUGGUGAAAGUUUUCGGCUCAACCGGAAAAUUGCCAUUGAUACUGCAAGUCUUGAAUCAUUAUGAAGUGGUUAGAAUGUGUAGUGUAGCGGUGAAAUGCAUAGAUAUUACACAGAAUACCGAUUGCGAAGGCAGAUCACUAAUAACGUAUUGACGCUAAGGGACGAAAGCGUGGGUAGCGAACAGGAUUAGAAACCCUAGUAGUCC
rnacentral:rRNA from 1 species